rnacentral:rRNA from 1 species
UACGGGGGGUGCAAGCGUUGUUCGGAUUUAUUGGGCGUAAAGCGCGUGUAGGCGGUUUUUUAAGUCUGAUGUGAAAGCCCCGGGCUCAACCUGGGAAGUGCAUUGGAUACUGGAAGACUUGAAUACGGGAGAGGGAAGUGGAAUUCCUAGUGUAGGAGUGAAAUCCGUAGAUAUUAGGAGGAACACCGGUGGCGAAGGCGGCUUCCUGGACCGAUAUUGACGCUGAGACGCGAAAGCGUGGGUAG